ensembl:lncRNA
CCUGUCCUCCUGAAGGGUUGAACUCUGCAAGGCUCUACUGCAGAUUCCAGCUGCCCUUCCCCUGAAGAUAGUCCAGGUUUCGAUGGGAGGUUGUUCUCAAAUUUGGAAGAAACAGGAAGGGUGGUGGAAGGUUCUAGAAGACAUUGGAACAUUUGACUUUGUGGUGGAGACUAUUGUGAUGCAAACUCUGGCUCACUCUGUGUCCCUCAGGUGGCAGGCAGCUGCUGCGCCUCUGUCCUCCUCUUCAACCCUGUUUUGGACGCAGGUCCCAUGUGUGUGUGAAGGACCUGGGAGGACUGCAGGUCACCCAGGUCAGAUGCCCAUCCCUCCUGCUUCCUGCGCCCCAUGGGAGCUGCUCACCGUGCACACCCUGCUCUGCCAGGUCACCUCCCACAGAGGCCCAAAGCCCAGGGCCACAGGAGCCAAAAUAAACCUCUGUUCCUGACAAAUUAAUCGCCUUGCCCCCUCCAUCCGCAUCUGAGAGCAGUCUGAGUACAACACAGGUCCUCCUCGUUUUUGUCUACUUUUGAACCUGAAGGGUAUUUGUGCUAAUUACUUUGUGUUUCUGAGAUAGGAUCUCUCUCUUUCAUUUUGCUGGCCUUGAACUAGCAAUGAUCCUCCUGCCUUAGCCUUCUGAGGGCUGGGAUUACAGUCCUACACCACCACACCCAAUUUGAAAAUUGUUUUUUUAACAGCUCAAAAGUAAGAUACCAGACUUUAAGUAGAAUGGUAGAAUCUUGAUGUUCUUUUGAAUCAGCAUCUUGGUUUACAGCUGUCCCUUUCUCUGAAAUGGAGCGAGCACCUUGUGAAUUUCCGUCUUCAUGUGACAUCACUUGGAACUCGGCCUGUGGAUUAAAUGUGGUCUGGGCGCAGGCCUGGGCUCAAGCGUCAAGUAAUGAUGAUGAGGAGAGAGACGUGGCAGGCUGGAGGCCUCAGCCCAGAGUCUUCACACGGAUUCUGAUCCUGAUUAAGAAUGUCCAGCUUUGCCGGAUGUGGCAGGGCACACCUGUGAUCUCAGCGCUUGGGAGGCUAAGACAGAAGAAUCACAAGUUCAAGG